rfam:Musca domestica strain aabys unplaced genomic scaffold Scaffold19210, whole genome shotgun sequence.
UUUCUUCGAAAGGAUGACACUUUUCAUAACCCAAAUCUGAACUAUUCGUUGAAGAAUUUGUUUUACAUGCAUCACCAACUGAUUAAAAAU